UGAGUAACGCGUGAGUAACCUGCCUUACACAAGGGGAUAGCCGUUGGAAACGACGAAUAAUACCCUAUGACAUAAACUCUUCGCAUGAGGAGCUUAUCAAAGAUUUAUCGGUGUAAGAUGGACUCGCGUCUGAUUAGCUAGUUGGUGAGGUAACGCCCACCAAGGCGACGAUCAGUAGCCGGCUUGAGAGAGUGUACGGCCACAUUGGGACUGAGACACGGCCAGACUCCUACGGGAGGCAGCAGCC
rnacentral:rRNA from 1 species